AAUAAACCAAGCCAAGAAAAGCCAAAAGCAUAACGUCUUGCGCUACAGAGAGAGAGGGAGGAGAUGGAGCGAGUGAAGAUAGGAUGUGGGUCUGGCUUGCCUGUCUUGAUGGUGGUCACUUUGGCGGUGGUGCUAAUGGCGGUUUUGGUACCAGAAGUGUCUGCAACUAGAUGGAUUGUAGGAGGUAAUAUGGGCUGGACUACCAAUGUGAAUUAUACUGUUUGGGCUAAAGACAAGCAUUUCUACAAUGGGGAUUGGCUCUUUUUUUGUGUACGAUAGGAACCAGAUGAAUGUGCUAGAGGUGAACAAGACAGAUUAUGAGUCAUGUAACUCUGAUCAUCCUCUUCACAACUGGACUAGGGGAGCCGGAAGAGAUGUGGUUCCACUGAAUGUGACUCGCAACUACUAUUUAAUCAGUGGUAAAGGGUUCUGUUUUGGUGGAAUGAAGCUAGCUGUUCAUGUUGAAAACCCACCUCCCCCUCCUACAGCUGCCUCCUUGAAUGAGAACAGUGCCUCUCCAAGUUUCAAUCUCAGAGGCCAGUAUGUUCUCCCAGCUGUUCUUGCUAUUGGUGCUUUGUGGGAUGCAUUUGUCCACUUCUGGUAGUAGCAUUUUCUAUAGCUUUCUUAUGAGGAUCCAUACCAUCUCCUACAUUUCUUCAACCUAUUUGUGAAGGGAAAUCGAGUUGUCUUCUACAUUUUUUCUUUCUUUCUUUCUUGGGGUGUUGUUUUCUUUAUGGUAGUUUGACCUGAAAUUGGGUUUGUCUUGAUUAAGGUUGUUCAUCUGUGCUUGGUGUUAAUUUAAUCUGCAUCCUUA
rnacentral:misc_RNA from 1 species